rnacentral:misc_RNA from 1 species
AAGUCGUAACAAGGUUUCCGUAGGUGAACCUGCGGAAGGAUCAUUAUUGAAAUAAACCUGAUGAGUUGCUGCUGGCUCUCUAGGGAGCAUGUGCACACUUGUCAUCUUUAUAUCUCCACCUGUGCACCUUUUGUAGACCUGGAUAUCUCUCUGAAGGCUAGCCUUCAGGUUUGAGGAUUGACCUUCUGGUCUUUCCUUAUAUUUCCAGGCCUAUGUUUCUUCAUAUACUCCAUGUAUGUUAUAGAAUGUAAUAAAUGGGCCUUUGUGCCUAUAAACCUAUACAACUUUCAGCAACGGAUCUCUUGGCUCUC